GGCAACGGCCAUACCACGUUGAAAACACCGGUUCUCGUCUGAUCACCGAAGUUAAGCAACGUUGGGUUUGGUUAGUACUUGGAUGGGUGACCGCCUGGGAAUACCAAAUGCUGCUUUUU
rnacentral:rRNA from 1 species